UCUCCGUUGGUGAACCAGCGGAGGGAUCAUUACCGAGUUUACAACUCCCAAACCCAAUGUGAACGUUACCAAACUGUUGCCUCGGCGGGAUCUCUGCCCCGGGUGCGUCGCAGCCCCGGACCAAAGCGCCCGCCGGAGGACCAACCAAAAACUCUUUUGUAUACCCCCUCGCGGGUUUUUUUAUAUCUGAGCCAUCUCGGCGCCUCUCGUAGGCGUUUCGAAAAUGAAUCAAAACUUUCAACAACGGAUCUCUUGGUUCUG
rnacentral:misc_RNA from 1 species